AUUGAACGCUGGCGGCAGGCCUAACACAUGCAAGUCGAACGAGUGGCGGACGGGUGAGAAAUGUCUGGGAAACUGCCCGAUGGAGGGGGAGAACUACUGGAAACGGUAGCUAAUACCGCAUACCAUCGGAUGUGCCCCGAUGGGGUUAGCUUGUGGGUGGGGUAAAGGCUCACCUAGGCGACGAUCCCUAGCUGGUCUGAGAGGAUGACCAGCCACACUGGAACUGAGACACGGUCCAGACUCCUACGGGAGGCAGCAGUGGGGAAUAUUGCACAAUGGGCGCAAGCCUGAUGCAGCCAUGCCGCGUGUAUGAAGAAGGCCUUCGGGUUGUAAAGUACUUUCAGCGGGGAGGCGUUACCCGCAGAAGAAGCACCGGCUAACUCCGUGCCAGCCGCCGCGGUAAUAC
rnacentral:rRNA from 1 species